CACGUAGGGCGCAAGCGUUGUCCGGAAUUAUUGGGCGUAAAGAGCUCGUAGGCGGUCUGUUGCGUCCGCUGUGAAAACUCGGGGCUUAACCCCGAGCCUGCAGUGGAUACGGGCAGACUAGAGGUAGGUAGGGGAGAAUGGAAUUCCCGGUGUAGCGGUGAAAUGCGCAGAUAUCGGGAGGAACACCGGUGGCGAAGGCGGCAUCCUGGACCAGCAUUGACGCUGAGGCGCGAAAGCCAGGGGAGCAAACGGG
rnacentral:rRNA from 1 species